CUUGAAUAUUAUUAUAGAUAGAGAUAAACUGUAAACAGCAAUAAUGUUCAGCAAAGUAAGAUCUACAAAUAAGUCGACAUGACCAAAAUGGUCAGUUGACCACUUUAGGAGUUAUUGCCCUUUUUAGUCCAUUUUAACCAUUUUUCGUAAAUCUUAGUUAUCUUUUACAAAAAUCUUCUCCUCUGAAACUACUGGGACAAAUUAAUCCAAACUUGGCCACAAUCAUCAUUGGAGUAUCUAGUUUAAAAAAUGUGUGGCGUGACCCGGCCAACCAACCAAGAUGGCCGCCAUGGCUAAAAAUAGAACAUAGGGGUAAAAUGCAGUUUUUGGCUUAUAACUCAAAAACCAAAGCAUUUAGAGCAAAUCUGUCAUGGGGUAAAAUUGUUCAUCAGGUCAAGAUCUAUCUGCCCUGAAAUUUUCAGAUGAAUCGAACAACCCGUUGUUGGUUGCUGCCCCUGAAUUGAUAAUUUUAAGGAAAUUUUGCUGUUUUUGGUUAUUAUCUUGAAUAUUAUUAUAGAUAGAGAUAAACUGUAAACAGCAAUAAUGUUCAGCAAAGUAAGAUCUACAAAUAAGUCAACAUGACCAAAAUGGUCAGUUGACCGCUUUAGGAGUUAUUGCCCUUUAUAGUCUAUUUUUAACCAUUUUUCGUAAAUCUUAGUAAUCUUUUAGAAAAAUCUUCUUCUCUGAAACUACUGGGCCAAAUUUAACCAAACUUGGCCAUAAUCAUCAUUGGGGUAUAUAGUUUAAAAAAUUUGUCCGUUGACCCGGCCAACCAACCAAGAUGGCCGCCAUGGCUAAAAAUAGAACAUAGGGGUAAAAUGCAGUUUUUGGCUUAUAACUCAAAAACCAAAGCAUUAAGAGCAAAUCUGACAGGAAGUAAAAUUGUUGAUCAGGUGAAGAUCUAUCUGCCCUGGAAUUUUCAGAUGAAUCGGAUAAUCGGUUGUUAGGUUGCUGCCCCUGAAUUGAUAAUUUUGAGGAAAUUUUGCUGUUUUUUUUUGUUAUCUUGAAUAUUAUUAUAGAUAGAGAUAAACUGUAAACAGCAAUAAUGUACAGCAAAGUAAGAACUAAAAAUAAGUCACUAUGACCAAAAUAGUCAAUUGACCCCCUAAGGAGUUAUUGCCCUUCAUAGUCAAUUUUUAACAAUUUUCUUAAAAUUUGAAGAUUUUCAAUAACAUUUUCCACAGAAAGUACUGUUAUAGGUAGAGAUAAUUGUAAGCAGCAAGAAUGAUUAGUAAAGUAAGAUCUACAAACACAUCACCAUCACCAAAACACAAUUUUGUCAUGAAUCCAUCUGUGUCCAUUGUUUAAUAUUCACAUAGACCAAGGUGAGCGACACAGGCUCUUUAGAGCCUCUAGUUUUU
rnacentral:lncRNA from 1 species